rnacentral:tRNA from 1 species
GAAAAGUUAGUUAAUUUAUAACCUAAAGUUGUCAACUUUAAAUUACUUUUCAGUACUUUUCU